ensembl:snRNA U4 U4 spliceosomal RNA
AGCUUUGCGCAGUGGCAGUAUCAUAGUCAAUGAGGUUUAUCCGAGGCGUGAUUAUUGCUAAUUGAAAACUUUUCCCAAAGAAACAUGACAAUGUAAACAUAUGUUGUAUACAUCGUGUGCCAUAAACCCCAGCUGUUU